AACGAACGCUGGCGGCAUGCCUAACACAUGCAAGUCGAACGGGACCUUCGGGCCUAGUGGCGCACGGGGGCGUAACACGUGGGAACCUGCCCUUAGGUUCGGAAUAACUCCCCGAAGGGGGUGCUAAUACCGGAUAAUGUCUUCGGACCAACGAUUUCUCGCCUUUGGAUGGGCCCGCGUUGGAUUAGCUGGUUGGUAGGGUAAAAGCAUACCAAGGAGACGAUCCAUAGCUGGUCGGAGAGGAUGCUCAGCCACGCUGGGACUGAGACACGGCCCAGACUCCGACGGGAGGGAGCAGAGGGUAAUAUUGGACGAUGGGCGAAGGUGUGACCCAGCAACGUGGGGGGAGUGAUGAAGGCCGUAGGGUUGUAAAUCCGUUUUACACGGGAUGAUAAUGACAGUACCGGGUGAAUAAGCUCCGGCUAACUCCGUG
rnacentral:rRNA from 1 species